UGACCUUUCAGAUAAUGGUUAGUCUAGGUGGCUCUAACCCACCAUGUCUCGGUUCGAUUCCAGAGAAGGUCAGCCA
rnacentral:tRNA from 1 species